rnacentral:rRNA from 1 species
UGGGGAAUCUUGGACAAUGGGCGCAAGCCUGAUCCAGCCAUGCCGCGUGAGUGAAGAAGGCCUUCGGGUUGUAAAGCUCUUUUACCAGGGACGAUAAUGACGGUACCUGGAGAAUAAGCCCCGGCAAACUUCGUGCCAGCAGCCGCGGUAAUACGAAGGGGGCUAGCGUUGUUCGGAAUUACUGGGCGUAAAGGGCGCGUAGGCGGCCUCCUAAGUCGGACGUGAAAGCCCCAGGCUUAACCUGGGAACUGCGUCUGAUACUGGGAGGCUUGGAUUCGGGAGAGGGAUGUGGAAUUCCAGGUGUAGCGGUGAAAUGCGUAGAUAUCUGGAGGAACACCGGUGGCGAAGGCGGCAUCCUGGACCGAGAUCGACGCUGAGGCGCGAAAGCUAGGGGAGCAAACAGGAUUAGAUACCCUCGUAGUCCCUGAGCGGGCUGGCAAGGCGCAU